rnacentral:rRNA from 1 species
UCGCCUGUUUAUCAAAAACAUAGCUGUUAGUAAUUYUUAACAGUGUYUUYUGCUCAAUGAAUAUUUAAAUAGCCGCAGUACCUUGACUGUGCAAAGGUAGCAUAAUCAAUUGGCUUAUAAUUGAAGUYUUGUAUGAAUGAAAGCAUGUAGAAUCACUAUAUUYUGAGUAGAAUAUGAAAUUACUUAACAAGUGCAAAUGCUUGUAGAAAAACAAUAGACGAGAAGACCCUAGAAAUUUUGAGUACUGUACGCAAGGUUUUUGUUGGGGCAACAAUGUAGCAUAUAAACCUACAUAAUAUACAUGAAAUUAAUUUGGUUGCUUAAAUUACUCUAGGGAUAACAGCGUAAUGUUAAAACGAUUGCGACCUCGAUGUUGGACUAGGAAAUAUACG